AAGCAAAAAGAAAAAAAAAAUCUUUUUGGUGGAAACACUACUCAAUUGAGGAAUAACUGUUUGAUCAUAACGUCUGAUUCAUUUUGUAGAAAUCAUGUAGUCACACAAAUGAUCACACUUUUAAAUAAUACAUUUUAAAAAAUGCUGAAAAUUCCUAACAUCUUUAAUAAAUUCAGAUUAAGGCACAAGUAAAACAAACAUUCAUUUUUCUUACACAACAAAUAACUUCAAAGCCUUACUUCAAAAUUACUCAAGUAAGGGAGCUGUAUGGUGAAGCAAAACUACUUCUGGGAGCACAAGAGAAAUGCAACUUAGGUAAACAUAUCUGAGUAAAUAUAAUUGUGCGGCCCAGCGCUGGGUAUGUCUGGUCGAAAACUGAAACUACAAAUGUCCCUGAACGCAUCACCCCCCAUGACAAAACUAUGGAGAUGGAUAAUGAACUUCCAGAUCUUCCAUCAAUGAACCAGUAUGUACAGCCAAACCUACAACUGGGUUAAAUCAAAUAUAUUUAUGCACUGGAAGGGAUCAGUCAAAGUUUAGAUGCAAAUGAAUGACAAAUAUUUGCUAAGAUUUCAAACACUAUCUAUCCAAACUCAGUAAAUCUGAUUUUUCGAAGUGAGAUGGGGGAAAA